AUUGAACGCUGGCGGCAUGCCUUACACAUGCAAGUCGAACGGCAGCACGGGUGCUUGCACCUGGUGGCGAGUGGCGAACGGGUGAGUAAUACAUCGGAACGUACCUUAUCGUGGGGGAUAACGCAGCGAAAGCUGUGCUAAUACCGCAUACGCCCUGAGGGGGAAAGCGGGGGAUCGAAAGACCUCGCGCGAUUAGAGCGGCCGAUGCCUGAUUAGCUUGUUGGUGGGGUAAAAGCCCACCAAGGCGACGAUCAGUAGCUGGUCUGAGAGGACGAUCAGCCAAACUGGGACUGAGACACGGCCCAGACUCCUACGGGAGGCAGCAGUGGGGAAUUUUGGACAAUGGGGGAAACCCUGAUCCAGCAAUGCCGCGUGAGUGAAGAAGGCCUUCGGGUUGUAAAGCUCUUUUGUCAGGGAAGAAACACCGGCUCUAACACAGUCCGGGAAUGACGGUACCUGAAGAAUAAGCACCGGCUAACUACGUGCCAGCCGCCGCGGUAA
rnacentral:rRNA from 1 species